UACGAGAGCCUCGAGCGUUAUCCGGAAUUAUUGGGCGUAAAGGGUGCGUAGGUUGUUCUGUUAGUCUUUUGUUAAAGACCCGAGCUUAACUCGGAAAGGUCAACUGAUACUGUGCGACUAGAGUGCGGAAGGGGCAACUGGAAUUCUCGGUGUAGCGGUGAAAUGCGUAGAUAUCAAGAGGAACACCUGCGGCGAAGGCGGGUUGCUGGGCCGACACUGACGCUGAGGCGCGAAAGCCAGGGGAGCGAACGGG
rnacentral:rRNA from 1 species